ACUUUGAAGAGAGAGUUCAAAAGGGCGUGAAACCGCUUAGAAUAAAACGGACGGAGCCGUCGGUGGCCUUCCGGAAUCAGUCGUACGGCGCGCGAUGGCGCGUUUCGCCCGAGCGAAAGUCGGGCGGGCGCGUUGGGAAAUAGUAGCGUUCGUUCGAUGCAUUUCCGGAGGGUAUGCGCCGCGACCGAUGCGAGUGGCUAGCGAAUCCGGCGAUUUGAGGUGGAAUCCCCUCGCGGGGUCUUCAUUACCAGUUCGUCGGCUUAUAAAUCGUUAGACCGUAAGCAUCGAGCGCGAAAUAUAUAUAUCGAACACUGGCAUCAGUGCUCGCUUAAGCGGCGGAUAGUCGGCGGAAUAUGCCGUACCUGCUCGCAGGUUACGCGUAUCCCCGUUCGGCGUUUGAAGCCGCGGGCGAGUGUAUAGUGUUCCGGCGUCAGCGGCGUCCGAGACGGUCAACCGUCCGACCCGUCUUGAAACACGGACCAAGGAGUCUAACGUACGCGCGAGCUAAUGAGUGGAAAACUCAUAAGCGCAAUAAAAGUAAAAGGUACGAUCCCGGGGUAUUUAACGUAUUUACCCCGGGCGCAGUACCAUCCCAUCCUGAUCGCUCGUCGAUAGGGUGGAGAUCGAGUGCGUACGUUGGGACCCGAAAGAUGGUGAACUAUGCCUGAGCAGAGCGAAGCCAGAGGAAACUCUGGUGGAGGUUCGUAGCGGUUCUGACGUGCAAAUCGAUCGUCAGACUUGGGUAUAGGGGCGAAA
rnacentral:rRNA from 1 species